CGAGCAACGUCUUCCAUCGUCACUGAUUAACUAAAGGUGGUCCAGGAGUACGAACGGGCUGUGAUCUUCCGCCUCGGGCGCCUACUUUCUGGAGGGGCUAAGGGACCGGGUAUAUUCUUCAUCCUGCCCUGCAUCGACUCCUACGCCCGCGUGGAUCUGCGCACGCGCACCUACGAUGUACCACCUCAGGAAGU